AGACAUUAAAUUAGAUAGUUCAAAACAGUCAUUUAAAUGUACAAAGAGACGUUCAGGGCUCUAUGAACAGAAAAGGUGUAUAUAAUACAAAUCAGACCACUCUCUCUUGCUGUUAAACCUGUACACUCACUCAGAGUCGCAGAACCUUCCUUCCCUCUUCCAUGGAGGCAGACGUGUGAUGGAGGAAUGGGGACACAAAGGAAAGUGAGCAAUAAGGACUACUGCUGCUUCUCAGUCUGUCAAGUAUGAAUACUUAGUCAUGUACACAACUGGAGUAACCAGCCUAGGAAGCCUUUAUUACUCCACAUACCUGUGAGAGUCGGGGCCCGAGGGUCCCUGGUUUUGCCUCACGACCUUCGUCAAGGUCCCCUGUCAAGGAAGGGACUGUGUACAAGGGGUUUGGGCCUAACCCAUGGUGUGUGUGUACCAAGCAUUGAACUGCAGGUGUGUCCUCCGGACCGGAGCUGGCUCCCAUGGGAACUUGUACACAGACAAUGGACGGCUGGACAGCCUGUGCUUACCAGCGGCCAGGCCCAGACCUGCUUGUCCCAGACCUGCCUGACCUGAACGGUUGCACCUGAUUCCCAGAGCAACGGGGCUCCUCACAAUGACUCUUGGGUGCUCCCCCAGCAUUAGCGGGGUGCCCCACACUUCUGUCUGCAUUGGCCGGGUGCCCUCCGCUUCUGAAAUGACUAUAAAAGCUUCCCCCUGCGACUCACACUUUGAGAUCUCCCCACGGACAGAAGACGGAUCCAUUGGCCAGACGCCACGUCACGAGGACGUCGCUCUGCCGUUGGGAGCAUGUCCUCAUCAACUAUGUCUGCAUGUGGCUCAAUUACUCUCUACACUAUCCAGGAGCUGCAAACUGCCAGACAGAGAAUGCACAGAACUAAUAAACUACAGAUUUGUUCUCCUGGAGAUCUUGUCUUCAGGGGUUGCAUCGAAACUGCGGCUUCAAAUCUUGGAGGAAAAAAUGAAGAGCAACUAGUUCUAAACAUCUUCCCAGUACUACUUCCUUCUUUGACUGAGUCAACUACCUUAGUUAUAUAAAAUAUAUUCCUUUGUUUUUUUCUCUCAACUCCCUAAAUCUAUCAAAAUAGAUUUAGAAUAAAUGGAAGCUGCUUAUGCAGGAGUGCAAAGCAGAAGUAGGAAAUCAAAAACCAGCAAACUGACAAACUGAACUGAACUGGGAUCUGGGGUAAGGAUUUGUCACUUGUAAGUUGUCAUGUUUCCUGCUAAAGCAAAACAGAGGAAAGGAAAAAGGUUCUUCUGGGAUACAGCAAGAAUGCGUCCCACACUAAAAUUUGUUAUCUAUAGGUUGCUAUACCUAAAAUUUUUGAUUUGAAAUGUUUUAUACAUUAAAAAAUCAGUAGCCUUGUGACAGGAUAAAACCUACCCAAAAGCACAGCUCAGAUAAAAUGAGGUCUUUAUCUGUCAUCUCCAACUGAUUUGGUGAUUCUGAUGUACACUGGAAAGACAAGGCAGCAUAAAUAAUUAUCAUGAGGGACUCUUACCUGAAAGUCCUGCUAGAUGAGAUAUGAACCACAUCAGCCCCUUUGUAAUGGUUUAGACACGCACUGGAAAGAACUGAAUACAAGUUGUUAACCCCAUUGGGUGGAUCCUGGUAACACAUUUUGGGCUGAAGUUCAGAAGACAGCAUUACCUCAGGAAGCCACUGCUGAUGGACUUAAUAAAGGGUGCAAGUUAGCCAGACUGGGAAUGGGUGGCCAGCAGGAUUAUGUGAGGGCUACUGACCAUUUAACUCAGAAAGCAAGCAUACAAGCAGCAGUAGCUCCUCAGUGGGGACACGUCCACAGGGGUCCCGUGCUGCAAUAGGCUGAGGACCAUCCCGAGGUGGGAUGGUCACACACGCAGCGAGACACUGCCACAGCUCAGGCACCCAAGGAGACUGCCUCAUUCCAGUGCUCCAGGGUGAGAGGCACACACAGGGCCUUGUGUGUCCUGGUGUGUGUCCUGUGUGUGGCAGGACAGAUCUCUACACUGCUAUAAACAUUCCCCUUAGAAAGUGAUAUGUAAGCUUUAUGUCACUGUGUUGACUGGUUCUGAUCUUCAGUUACUCUCACACCAUUCCCACCCUUCUAGGGACAAGCCUACAUAAUAACAUCUCUACUGAUUUAAUUUUUGACUUCCCCUAAUCUUUCACCUAGAGAGUAAGGAGUAUUUAGAAAAGAGAAUAUAGACAUAGUUUAAAAUAUUACUAUGCUGACAGAGAGCUCAUUGCUGGAAAUGAGACCACCAGUCCCUCCUAACUUAGCAUUCAGUGUCGAAUCCUACACAUUUCCAUACAGAAGAGAGGACUCCGGGAUCAGUGAAGCUUCUACAAUAUCUAUUAAAUAAAACUAAAAAAUAAUCUUUUUUACAUCUUUAGUGACAGAAGUUGCUUUGAAAUGGAAAGGUGACUCAGUUUUCAGGCUUAACUUCGUUUAGUUCUUCAGGUUUCCUGAAGUUCCAGAGAUGUGCUGUGCCAUUUGAGACCUCAUAGAAAUACACUGGAGUGAAAGCAAAGGCCCCAGCUAAAGUGACCUGAAUUUUGGAAUUUACAUUGCAAGAAGAAAUUUAGUUUCAUGAAACAGAUUUUUGUUGUGUGUGGGAACAACACAGAAAGAUUCUCCCUUCUAAUUUAAUUACUAGUAAGCAAUUACAAAAUUUUUUCAAACUUACCUUGUUCACAUUUUUUUCAUAUUCAUCUGCUCACUGCAAGCAGCAAAUGUCUAUAUUAUGUUUUACAUUAUUUGUUACAUUAUCAAAUCGUGAUAAUAGGCUCCCUGGGAUAGAAGCUUUGUCACUUUAUGUCAAUUUGUGUUUUGGGAAGCAGAUGGUCGACUUGUCAGAUUGUCACUUCUUCUGAAUCACUGGUGAUGUCUCUUUAGAGUGGGGACCGUUUAAAGAGAGAAUUUGUCACUUACAGGUGAUACCUUCACUGUGAAUGUGUGAUAAUGGCAUAACAAAAAGUGAUUUUUUUUUCUUUGUUACUGAAAGAGCAAGAAUAUAUUGUCCAAAUAAAAAAUGUCUGAAUAAGAA